AGGCAUCGACUUUUCCGCCAAAAGCAGGAUAAUCUCCCCCCUAAAUUAAAGAUCCCAACUUCUUCCCACCCAUAUCAAAAACCGUAACUUCAUCUUCCCCAAAUUGAAGAUUCCAAAUCUGAAGUCGUUGAAGCUUCUUUCUUCAGAAGAUUUAAGGCUCGAUUUUGGAAAUUUGGUGAGAUCCAUGAAGUUUCAAGAACCAAAGACUAAAUUCUUUGGUCUUUUGAGCUGCUGCUAUUGUGUUAUCAAGUUUGAACACCUUUUGGGAAGAUCUUAGUAAAGAUAUCUUGUGUUCAAUUUAUUUUAUGAUUUGUAACAAUGAUCUCAAGAUUAACUGGAGAUCAUGUUUAGAUUGAAUUAGCCUAGAAUUUUCAUAUUUAGAUUGAGAUAGCUACUGUAAUAGUAUAGAUGAUCUUGUUACUUCAUCUGUGGAUUCUUAUUUUUGUUAUAUUCUAUUGUGUCUGAUGUUACUGUAA